GAUUCUGUAGCUCAAUGGUAGAGCGCUGGUCUGUUAAACCAGAAGUUGAAAGUUCGAGUCUUUCCGGAAUCGCAA
rnacentral:tRNA from 1 species